GACGAACGCUGGCGGCGUGCUUAACACAUGCAAGUCGAACGAGGAGCGAUGGAAGCUUGCUUCUAUCAAUCUUAGUGGCGAACGGGUGAGUAACGCGUAAUCAACCUGCCCUUCAGAGGGGGACAACAGUUGGAAACGACUGCUAAUACCGCAUACGAUCUAAUCUCGGCAUCGAGGAUAGAUGAAAGGUGGCCUCUACAUGUAAGCUAUCACUGAAGGAGGGGAUUGCGUCUGAUUAGCUAGUUGGAGGGGUAACGGCCCACCAAGGCGAUGAUCAGUAGCCGGUCUGAGAGGAUGAACGGCCACAUUGGGACUGAGACACGGCCCAGACUCCUACGGGAGGCAGCAGUGGGGAAUCUUCCGCAAUGGACGAAAGUCUGACGGAGCAACGCCGCGUGAGCGAUGACGGCCUUCGGGUUGUAAAGCUCUGUUAAUCGGGACGAAAGGCCUUCUUGCGAAUAGUGAGAAGGAUUGACGGUACCGGAAUAGAAAGCCACGGCUAACUACGUG
rnacentral:rRNA from 1 species